CAACAGGUAAUUUGAAGCUCAAAAUUUUGGCUUUGGGUGCCAGCAAUGGGGGUGAAAAUCCCCCCCUUUUGA
rnacentral:tRNA from 1 species